AGCUGAUUAAUUGCAAGAUGAAACUUUUACUAGCCGCCAUUGUUUCCCUCUUCUUAUUGCAGACUUUGGGUAUACCAUUAUCAACAAACACAAGAUAUAUGACUAUAGAUCAACAGUUGGAAUGUUAUACUGCGGUUCAGUUGGGUGGAAUGUGGAAUCUUGUAACAAAACUUCAAUAUGUCCGCCAAAUAACGCAUGUUUCCUAUCAUUCAGUACUACAGGUAUGAGUGGAAAUUAUAAUCUCAGUUGCAUAGAUAACAAG